GACGAACGCUGGCGGCGUGCUUAACACAUGCAAGUCGAGCGGUAAGGCCCUUUCGGGGGUACACGAGCGGCGAACGGGUGAGUAACACGUGGGUGACCUGCCCUUAGCUCUGGGAUAAGCCUGGGAAACUGGGUCUAAUACCGGAUAUGACUCCAUGACGCAUGUUGUGGGGUGGAAAGCCUUGUGCGGCUAGGGAUGGGCCCGCGGCCUAUCAGCUUGUUGGUGGGGUGAUGGCCACCGAGGCGACGACGGGUAGCCGGCCUGAGAGGGCGACCGGCCACACUGGGACUGAGACACGGCCCAGACUCCUACGGGAGGCAGCAGUGGGGAAUCUUGCGCAAUGGGCGAAAGCCUGACGCAGCGACGCCGCGUGAGGGAUGACGGCCU
rnacentral:rRNA from 1 species